rnacentral:rRNA from 1 species
AUUGAACGCUGGCGGCAUGCCUUACACAUGCAAGUCGAACGGCAGCACGGGGCAACCUGGUGGCGAGUGGCGAACGGGUGAGUAAUGCAUCGGAACGUACCUUUCAGUGGGGGAUAACGUAGCGAAAGUUACGCUAAUACCGCAUAUUCUGUGAGCAGGAAAGCAGGGGAUCGCAAGACCUUGCGCUGAUUGAGCGGCCGAUGUCAGAUUAGCUAGUUGGUGAGGUAAAGGCUCACCAAGGCGACGAUCUGUAGCGGGUCUGAGAGGAUGAUCCGCCACACUGGAACGAGGGCACGGUCCAGACUCCUACGGGAGGCAGCAGUGGGGAAUUUUGGACAAUGGGGGCAACCCUGAUCCAGCCAUGCCGCGUGAGUGAAGAAGGCCUUCGGGUUGUAAAGCUCUUUCGGCCGGGAAGAAAUCGCACGGGCUAAUACCCUGUGUGGAUGACGGUACCGGAAUAAGAAGCACCGGCUAACUACGUGCCAGCAGCAGCCGCCGUAA